GCUGGGCAUGGAUGGUGGUGCAUACCUGUAAUCCCAGUACCUUGAGAGGCUGAGUCAGGAGGAUUACAAGUUUAAGGCCAGGUUGGCAAUUUAGUAAGACCUUGAUUCAA
rnacentral:sRNA from 1 species